ensembl:rRNA 5S_rRNA 5S ribosomal RNA
CUUUACGACCAUGCCAUCCUGAAUGUGUGCUAUCUUGUCUGAUCUCGGAAGCUAAGCAGGGUCAGGAAUGGUUAGUAAUUGGAUGGGGUAAACAUAUAGUCUUCAAUU